rnacentral:rRNA from 1 species
UCCGGUUGAUCCUGCCGGACCUGACUGCUAUCGGAUUGAUACUAAGCCAUGCGAGUCAUUGUAGCAAUACAAGGCAGACGGCUCAGUAACGCGUAGUCAACCUACCCUAUGGACGGGAAUAACCUCGGGAAACUGAGUAUAAUGCCCGAUAGAACACUAUACCUGGAAUGGUUUGUGUUCCAAAUGAUUUAUCGCCGUAGGAUGGGACUGCGGCCUAUCAGUUUGUUGGUGAGGUAAUGGCCCACCAAGACUAUUACAGGUACGGGCUCUGAGAGGAGUGGCCCGGAGAUGGGUACUGAGACACGGACCCAGGCCCUAUGGGGCGCAGCAGGCGAGAAAACUUUGCAAUGUGCGAAAGCACGACAAGGUUAAUCCGAGUGGUUUCUGCUAAAGGAACCUUUUGACAGUCCUAGAAACACUGUUGAAUAAGGGGUGGGCAAGUUCUGGUGUCAGCCGCCGCGGUAAAACCAGCACCUCAAGUGGUCAGGAUGAUUAUUGGGCCUAAAGCAUCCGUAGCCGGCUCUGUAAGUUUUCGGUUAAAUCUGUACGCUUAACGUACAGGCUGCUGGGAAUACUGCAGAGCUAGGGAGUGGGAGAGGUAGACGGUACUCGGGAGGAAGUGGUAAAAUGCUUUGAUCUCUCGAUGACCACCUGUGGCGAAGGCGGUCUACCAGAACACGUCCGACGGUGAGGGAUGAAAGCUGGGGGAGCAAACCGGAUUAGAUACCCGGGUAGUCCCAGCUGUAAACUAUGCAAAC